rnacentral:rRNA from 1 species
CACGUAGGCACCAAGCGUUGUCCGGAUUUAUUGGGCGUAAAGAGCUCGUAGGCGGUUGAGUAAGUCGGGUGUGAAAACUCUGGGCUUAACCCAGAGCCGCCACCCGAUACUGCUCUGACUUGAGUUCGGUAGGGGAGCAGGGAAUUCCUAGUGUAGCGGUGAAAUGCGCAGAUAUCAGGAGGAACACCGAUGGCGAAGGCAGGUCUCUGGGCCACUACUGACGCUGAGAAGCGAAAGCGUGGGGAGCGAACAGG